rnacentral:rRNA from 1 species
AGCGAACGCUGGCGGCAGGCUUAACACAUGCAAGUCGAGCGGGCACUUCGGUGUCAGCGGCAGACGGGUGAGUAACACGUGGGAACGUACCCUUUGGUUCGGAAUAACGCUGGGAAACUAGCGCUAAUACCGGAUACUCCCUUUUGGGGAAAGGCUUGCUGCCGAAGGAUCGGCCCGCGUCUGAUUAGCUAGUUGGUGGGGUAAUGGCCUACCAAGGCGACGAUCAGUAGCUGGUCUGAGAGGAUGAUCAGCCACACUGGGACUGAGACACGGCCCAGACUCCUACGGGAGGCAGCAGUGGGGAAUAUUGGACAAUGGGCGCAAGCCUGAUCCAGCCAUGCCGCGUGAGUGAUGAAGGCCUUAGGGUUGUAAAGCUCUUUUGUCCGGGACGAUAAUGACGGUACCGGAAGAAUAAGCCCCGGCUAACUUCGUG